rnacentral:rRNA from 1 species
UACAGAGGUGGCAAGCGUUGUUCGGAAUUACUGGGCGUAAAGGGCGCGUAGGCGGCCAUUUAAGUCAGACGUGAAAUCCCCCGGCUUAACCGGGGCAUUGCGUCUGAUACUGGGUGGCUCGAGUGCGGGAGAGGAAUGCGGAAUUCCAGGUGUAGCGGGGAAAUGCGUAGAUAUCUGGAGGAACACCGGUGGCGAAGGCGGCAUUCUGGACCGACACUGACGCUGGGGCGCGAAAGCCAGGGGAGCAAACGGG